ensembl:lncRNA
GUCCUAGCUGUCCUGUAACUCACCCUGUGGACCAGGCUGGUCUGAAACUCAUAGAGAUCUGCCUGCAUCUACUUCCUGAGUGCUGGGAUUGAAGGCGUGCACCAUCACCGCUCGGCUUGCUUUGCCCUCUAAUGUGGCUUUGAGCUUGUUCUGAAAAAGACUUUACAACAACCUUAUGAAACUGGAAGGAAGUAACUGGGGCUCAGAGACACAGAGAUCAUACCUCUGAAGAGUUGAUGGAGCCAAUUAGAUGCCGAAAACAAACUUUAAACUUAAUUCCUGUGUGGAUUGAAGAUGCAACACCCACUGUAGUCUCAUGUGUUUGGACACUUGAUCUCCAACUGUUCGUGCUGCUAGGAAAAGUUUUGGAACCUUGGGAAGGCAGUGCUUCACUGGGGGUGCUGGGUCAUUGUAGGAAGGCCUUGAGGGCUUCUAGCUCUGCCCUACUUCCAGUUAACCCUAUGCUCCCUGGCAGCAGAUAAAAUGUGAUCAGCCAGGCUUCUAGUUCCUGCCCUCAUGCUCUCCCCACCGUGAUGAACUGAAGCUGUAAACCAAAAUCAACCCUUCCUUUCUUUAAUGGUUUUUGUUACACAAACAAGUAGCUAAUGCAGUCUCCUAAUUCCAAUUCUAGGUUAAGAUAUUCUGUGAAUCCAUCAUGAUAAUUUUAGUUCUGUUGUCUUCUCUAAUGCAGCCAUCAGGGACCAGUUUUAAAACAUUUAAAUGUUGAAGCCAGAAGAGAUUUGAAUCCCAUCAAUCCAUCCUCAUCCUACUACAAAGAAGAAAAACGAAGCCUUAUCUCAGAACCAACUGGCACAAGGCUACAAACCUUGCUAAACUUCAAGAUUGUUGAUUAUUGUUUCCCAAAUCAGUGCACAGAAAAAGAUAGCCAGGAGGUACAGCAAUUGUUAGGGAAAACCAUGGUUGAUGUGUGAAACAGAAAGUGACUCUGAAAAUGGGUUAUCCAGGCACUGUUGCUAAGAAACUCACGCUGUGUCUGUGUAUCCAUCAUGGAAAGGGAGGCUUCAGUGAUUCAUUGACUUCAGCCCAGUUAGCUAUAGUGUACAAGAACAUAGACUCUGAAACUUUUACAGAUCUACUUCCUUUGACAAGGUUUUAAACACCUCAUGGCUCUUUAUUUACAAAGAUGAAGAUUGGGCCUACUGCUGCCUCUUGCUUUCUGCUUCUUGGAGAAUGUUUGAGGAUCCAGUUUCUUCCUACAGAAAACCAUCUGCACUCCUGUAGAUAAACGGGAUCUCUAUGGGCCCACAUGCAAAUUUGCAAAGAUCUCAUGAAAGCAGAGAUGGGUCAAAAAUCUGAUAAGAGGAAUUUAUAGAAAUAUACAUUCACAAUAAACUAGGAUCUCUGUUUUCUGA